UUGAGCCGGAUGAAGGGAAACUUUCACGUCCGGUUCUGAGAGGGCUGGCCCCCAGCAAUGGGGGCCGGCUACUCGGU
rnacentral:ncRNA from 1 species